UACAUGUUUUACUCCACCAUUCACUCCUUUAUUGGUUUAACAAUUGUUCAAUUCAUUGAAUUUCCUCAAAAUUGAUUCAACAUUAAAUCGACUUUAAUAUUUUUUAAAUACUUGUUUAAAUCAUCCAAAACAAACAGGUCCAGUAUUUGUGCAACUUAUUGGAAAUAUAAAAUUUAUAUCAUCAAAGCCAGUUUUACCAUAAUAAUCAAGAAUUUUUAGCUUCCAAGCUCUUCAACGCUUGUUAUUUGUUUCUGACCCUCUGAUUAUUCAAUUGAAAAUUCAAUAAAUGAUAAGCUUUUUUACUCUGGAAAUUCAUUUCUGACAUUACUGUGACACUACGGUCAAACUACUGUCAAUUGUUACAAAUUUGACCAAACCCCAGCCAAGCUUGUCAACACUUAAAGUUCAUUUCAUUCAUUCAUUGAAACUUUAGAAACUCAUUCACAACAGUAAAUAGAUGCAUUGAACAUACAAUCGAACAAAAUGUUAAAAUUAAAACUCUUUUGUUCAAAAUCAUUGUACCAAUACUGUAAUCAUAGAUGGAUAAUGUAAAACAAUAUUUUACUUCGAGUAAA